rnacentral:rRNA from 1 species
UACGUAGGGGGCAAGCGUUGUCCGGAAUCAUUGGGCGUAAAGCGCGUGUAGGCGGCUCGGUAAGUCCGCUCUGAAACUCCAGGGCUCAACCCUGGGAUGCGGGUGGAUACUGCCGGGCUCGAGUCCGGAAGAGGCGAGUGGAAUUCCCGGUGUAGCGGUGAAAUGCGCAGAUAUCAGGAGGAACACCGGUGGCGAAGGCGGGUCUCUGGGCCGAUACUGACGCUGAGGAGCGAAAGCGUGGGGAGCGAACAGG